rnacentral:rRNA from 1 species
UACGUAGGGUGCAAGCGUUGUCCGGAAUUAUUGGGCGUAAAGGGCUCGUAGGCGGUCUGUUGCGUCGGGAGUGAAAACUUACAGCUUAACUGUGAGCGUGCUUUCGAUACGGGCAGACUUGAGGCAUUCAGGGGAGAACGGAAUUCCUGGUGUAGCGGUGAAAUGCGCAGAUAUCAGGAGGAACACCGGUGGCGAAGGCGGUUCUCUGGGAAUGUACUGACGCUGAGACGCGAAAGCGUGGGGAGCGAACAGG